UCAAGGAAGAAGAUUUGACGGUACUUGAUGAAUAAGCCACGGCUAAUUCCGUCCCAGCAGCCGCGGUAAUACGGGAGUGGCAAGCUUUUUCCGGAAUUAUUGGGCGUAAAGCGUCCGCGGGCGGUUUUCCAAGUCUGUUGUUAAAACGUGGAGCUCAACUCCAUUUUGGCGAUGGAAACCUGUAAGACUAGAGUGUGGUAGGGGCAGAGGGAAUUCCCGGUGUAGCGGUGAAAUGCGUAGAUAUCGG
rnacentral:rRNA from 1 species